UUAACCUUGCGAAAGUAAGACUAAUACCCAAUGAUAUCCCACGAAGGCAUCUGAAUGGGAUUAAAGAUUUAUCGGUGAUGGAUGGGGAUGCGUCUGAUUAGCUUGUUGGCGGGUAACGGCCCACCAAGGCUACGAUCAGUAGGGGUUCUGAGAGGAAGGUCCCCCACAUUGGAACUGAGACACGGUCCAAACUCCUACGGGAGGCAGCAGUGAGGAAUAUUGGUCAAUGGGCGAGAGCCUGAACCAGCCAAGUAGCGUGCAGGAUGACGGCCCUAUGGGUUGUAAACUGCUUUAUAAGGGAAUAAAGUGAGUCUCGCGAGACUUUUGCAUGUACCUUAUGAAUAAGGACCGGCUAAUUCCGUG
rnacentral:rRNA from 1 species